AUUGAACGCUGGCGGCAGGCCUAACACAUGCAAGUCGAACGAGUGGCGGAUGGGUGAGUAAUGUCUGGGAAUCUGCCUGAUGUAGGGGGUUAACUACUGGAAACGGUAGCUAAUACCGUAUACCAUCAGAUGUGCCCAGAUGGGAUUAGCUUGUUGGUGGGGAACGGCUCACCUGGGCGACGAUCCCUAGCUGGUCUUAGAGGAUGACCAGCGACACUGGAACUGAGACACGGUCCAGACUCCUACGGUAGGCAGAAGUGGGGAAUAUUGCACGAUUGGCGCAAGCCUAAUGCAGCCAUGCGGCGUGUAUGAAGAAGGCCUUCGGGUUGAAAAGUACUUUCAGCGGGGAGGCAUUACCCGCAGAAGAAGCACCGGCUAUCUCCGUGCCAGCAACCGCGGUAAUAC
rnacentral:rRNA from 1 species